rnacentral:rRNA from 1 species
CCAGCCGCCGCGGUAAUACGUAGGGUGCAAGCGUUAAUCGGAAUUACUGGGCGUAAAGCGUGCGCAGGCGGUUUGUUAAGACAGAUGUGAAAUCCCCGGGCUCAACCUGAGAACUGCAUUUGUGACUGGCAAGCUAGAGUAUGGCAGAGGGGGGUGGAAUUCCGCGUGUAGCAGUGAAAUGCGUAGAUAUGCGGAGGAACACCGAUGGCGAAGGCAGCCCCCUGGGCCAAUACUGACGCUCAUGCACGAAAGCUAGGGGAGCAAACAGGAUUAGAUACCCGAGUAGUCCCUGUCUCUUAUU